ensembl:lncRNA
GUCCCUCUCUCUCUCUCUCUCUCUCUCUCACUCUCUCUCACUCUCUCUCACUCUCUCUCUCUCUCUCUCUCUGUCUCUCUCUCUCUCUGUCUCUCUCCCCCCGCCACCUCUGUGUGUCUCUCUCUCUCAGGUGUCCAGCUCAGGUCUUCUCUAUGUCUGUGUCUCAGGUGUCCAGUUCAGGUGUUCUCUGUGUCUGUGUCUCUCUCAGGUGUCCAGUUCAGGUGUUCUCUGUGUGUCUGUUUCUCUCAGGUGUCCAGUUCAGGUCUUCUCUCUCUCUCUCAGGUGUCCAGUUCAGGUGUUCUCUGUGUCUCUCUCAGGUGUCCAGUUCAGGUCUUCUCUCUCUCUCUCAGGUGUCCAGUUCAGGUGUUCUCUGUGUCUGUCUCAGGUGUCCAGCUCAGGUGUUCUCUGUGUCUCUGUGUCUCUCAGGUGUUCUCUGUGUCUCUCUGUCUCUCUCAGGUGUCCAGCUCAGGUCUUCUCUGUCUCUCUCUCAGGUGUCCAGCUCAGGUGUUCUCUCUCUCUCUCUCUCUCAGGUGUCCAGCUCCGGUCCUCUCUGGGUCGGUACUCCAGGAGUUCUCUCUGCUCCAGUUGAAGUGCUGGUGGAGUUUGGGCCUUUCUCCCUGAGUCCCACAGCCAACCAAUACACACUCAAGCAGGGGGGCAUGGAGCUGGCCCGUGUGGAUGUCUCCUCCUGUAUUCCUGUGUGUGUGUUGAGAGUAACUCUGCAGGAGUCUUCACCACAGGCUCCUCUGGAGCUCCAGGCUCUUGUGGACACACAGCUCCUCCACACUCAAGUGUUCUCCAUCAGUCUCAUCAAGAGCUCCAUGUUCAGAGCAGCGGUGUCCUCCACCAGUGCUGUUCUCACAUGGACGUCCCCGGGACCAGAGCACAGUGUGUGUGUGUGUGUGUCUGACAGGUGUUGGCCACCCUCUCAAACAGACUCACACACACACACACACACCUACCAGCUCCCAGGGCUAAACCCUGCGACUACUUACGCCCUCAUGGUGGAGCAGGAGACACUCAUGAGACACAGCAGGAUAACUCUUCUGCAGAAACUCCAGUUUCUCAUUGAGACAGCUCAGUGUCCAGUGGGCUGGCUGGCAGUGGGUUGGAGCUGUUUUCGAGUGUGGCAGAAGGUGUGUGUGUGGCCAGAGGCCCAGCAGGCAUGUGCUAGGGCAGCCUCAGGGGUCCAUCUAGCAGACCUUCACACAGAGGAGGAGUUAGAGGCAGUGUCCAGCUAUCUUCUGUCCCAUAGCCACCUGCUGCUGCUGUGGACGGGCCUCAAUGACCAACAG